AAAUAAGAAGCGAAAAUAUUGCUGCUGAUUUCGGCUCAGUUUUUGGUUUAUGAACCCUUAUUUU
rnacentral:tRNA from 1 species